rnacentral:rRNA from 1 species
UACGGGGGGGGCAAGCGUUGUUCGGAUUUACUGGGCGUAAAGGGCGCGUAGGCGGCGCGGUAAGUCACUUGUGAAAUCUCUGAGCUUAACUCAGAACGGCCAAGUGAUACUGCAGUGCUAGAGUGUGGAAGGGGCAAUCGGAAUUCUUGGUGUAGCGGUGAAAUGCGUAGAUAUCAAGGGGAACACCUGAGGUGAAGACGGGUUGCUGGGCCAACACUGACGCUGAGGCGCGAAAGCCAGGGGAGCAAACGGG